rnacentral:rRNA from 1 species
AUUGAACGCUGGCGGAAUGUUUUACACAUGCAAGUCGAACGGCAGCACGGGGCAACCUGGUGGCGAGUGGCGAACGGGUGAGUAAUACAUCGGAACGUGCCCAAUCGUGGGGGAUAACGUAGCGAAAGUUACGCUAAUACCGCAUACGAUCUACGGAUGAAAGCGGGGGAUCGCAAGACCUCGCGCGAAUGGAGCGGCCGAUGUCAGAUUAGGUAGUUGGUGGGGUAAAGGCUCACCAAGCCAACGAUCUGUAGCUGGUCUGAGAGGACGACCAGCCACACUGGAACUGAGACACGGUCCAGACUCCUACGGGAGGCAGCAGUGGGGAAUUUUGGACAAAUGGGCGCAAGCCUGAUCCAGCCAUUCCGCGUGCAGGAUGAAGGCC